rnacentral:rRNA from 1 species
AUACAUGCAAGUCGAACGAACUUCCGUUAAUUGAUCAGGACGUGCUUGCACUGAAUGAGAUUUUAACACGAAGUGAGUGGCGGACGGGUGAGUAACACGUGGGUAACCUGCCCAGAAGCAGGGGAUAACACCUGGAAACAGAUGCUAAUACCGUAUAACAGAGAAAACCGCCUGGUUUUCUUUUAAAAGAUGGCUCUGCUAUCACUUCUGGAUGGACCCGCGGCGCAUUAGCUAGUUGGUGAGGUAACGGCUCACCAAGGCGAUGAUGCGUAGCCGACCUGAGAGGGUAAUCGGCCACAUUGGGACUGAGACACGGCCCAGACUCCUACGGGAGGCAGCAGUAGGGAAUCUUCCACAAUGGACGCAAGUCUGAUGGAGCAACGCCGCGUGAGUGAAGAAGGGUUUCGGCUCGUAAAGCUCUGUUGUUAAAGAAGAACGUGGGUGAGAGUAACUGUUCACCCAGUGACGGUAUUUAACCAGAAAGCCACGGCUAACUACGUGCCAGCAGCCGCGGUAAUACGUAGGUGGCAAGCGUUAUCCGGAUUUAUUGGGCGUAAAGCGAGCGCAGGCGGUCUUUUAAGUCUAAUGUGAAAGCCUUCGGCUCAACCGAAGAAGUGCAUUGGAAACUGGGAGACUUGAGUGCAGAAGAGGACAGUGGAACUCCAUGUGUAGCGGUGAAAUGCGUAGAUAUAUGGAAGAACACCAGUGGCGAAGGCGGCUGUCUGGUCUGUAACUGACGCUGAGGCUCGAAAGCAUGGGUAGCGAACAGGAUUAGAUACCCUGGUAGUCCAUGCCGUAAACGAUGAUUACUAAGUGUUGGAGGGUUUCCGCCCUUCAGUGCUGCAGCUAACGCAUUAAGUAAUCCGCCUGGGGAGUACGACCGCAAGGUUGAAACUCAAAAGAAUUGACGGGGGCCCGCACAAGCGGUGGAGCAUGUGGUUUA